rnacentral:rRNA from 1 species
AUUGAACGAUGGCGGCAGGCUUAACACAUGCAAGUCGAGCGGAGAGAGGUAGCUUGCUACUGAUCUUAGCGGCGGACGGGUGAGUAAUGCUUAGGAAUCUGCCUAUUAGUGGGGGACAACAUUUCGAAAGGAAUGCUAAUACCGCAUACGUCCUACGGGAGAAAGCAGGGGAUCUUCGGACCUUGCGCUAAUAGAUGAGACUAAGUCGGAUUAGCUAGUUGGUGGGGUAAAGGCCUACCAAGGCGACGAUCUGUAGCGGGUCUGAGAGGAUGAUCCGCCACACUGGGACUGAGACACGGCCCAGACUCCAACGGGAGGCAGCAGUGGGGAAUAUUGGACAAUGGGCGGAAGCCUGAUCCAGCCAUGCCGCGUGUGUGAAGAAGGCCUUAUGGUUGUAAAGCACUUUAAGCGAGGAGGAGGCUACUUUAGUUAAUACCUAGAGAUAGUGGACGUUACUCGCAGAAUAAGCACCGGCUAACUCUGUGCCAGCAGCCGCAGUAA